rnacentral:rRNA from 1 species
GGGCCCGCACAAGCGGUGGAGUAUGUGGUUUAAUUCGAUGCAACGCGAAGAACCUUACCAGGGUUUGACAUCCUGCGAAUCUCUUGGAAACAGGAGAGUGCCUUCGGGAACGCAGUGACAGGUGGUGCAUGGCUGUCGUCAGCUCGUGUCGUGAGAUGUUGGGUUAAGUCCCGCAACGAGCGCAACCCACGUCUUUAGUUGCCAGCAUUUAGUUGGGCACUCUAGAGAGACUGCCGGUGAUAAACCGGAGGAAGGUGUGGAUGACGUCAAGUCAUCAUGCCCCUUACAUCCUGGGCUACACACGUACUACAAUGGUACUUACAAUGAGAAGCAAAGAUGCAAGUCCUAG